CUACCUUUACUCGCUAGAUAGACCGUCCUCGCUAGAUUUUACUUCUUGACCUCUCUAUAUAAUCUUAUUUGUUUCAUUCUGUUCUACAUUUUUUCUGUCCAGGGUCACAAGUGUGAAGGACAUUUUGCCAGAGUGUCCACAAGCUGGUGGGGGCGGCGGUAGUGGUCCGUUGACGUCACAAAUAUGGGGAAGGGGGACAUUUCUCGAAGGAUUGUCCACAAGAGGGUCGCGGUGGUGGUGGAAGUCGUACCUGCCAUGAGAUAAACAAAAAACAAAAAAAACAUCAUUUUUAGUGCUCAUUUUUAACGAAGAAGAGGGCA